rnacentral:misc_RNA from 1 species
GAUGAAGAACGCAGCGAAAUGCGAUAAGUAAUGUGAAUUGCAGAUUUCAGUGAAUCAUCGAAUCUUUGAACGCACCUUGCGCCUUGUGGUAUUCCACAAGGCAUGCCCGUUUGAGUAUCAUUAAAUCAUCAACUCUAAAACCUUUGUGGUUUUUUUUAGAGCUUGGUCUUGAGGGUUUUGCAGGCUUUUUUUUUUUUUUCGAGUCUGCUCCCUUUAAAUGCAUUAGCGAGACUUCCCUAUGCUGAACCGUCUCUUUGACGUGAUAAUUAUCUGCGUCGAAUUUUGGUUCUCGUUGGGCUUGCUUCUAAUCGUCUGUUAAAGACAAAACGGAUUUGGGUGCAUAUAUGCGCCUUUUUCCAAAACCUUUUUUUGAUCUCAAAUCGGGUAGGACUACCCGCUGAACUUAAGCAUAUCAAUAAGCGGGGGA